rnacentral:rRNA from 1 species
AUUGAACGCUGGCGGCAGGCCUAACACAUGCAAGUCGAGCGAGCGGCGGACGGGUGAGUAAUGUAUGGGGACUGCCCGCUAGAGGGGGAUAACUACUGGGAACGGUGGCUAAUACCGCAUAUUGUCGGAUAACCCAUAUGGGAUUAUCUAGUAGGUAAGGUAAUGGCUUACCUAGGCGACGAUCCCUCGCUGGUCUGCGAGGAUGAUCAGCCACACUGGAACUGAGACACGGCCCAGACUCCGACGGAGGCAGCAGUGGGGAAUAUUGCACAAUGGGCGCAAUCCGGAUGCAGCCAUGCCGCGGGUAUGAAGAAGGCCCUAGGGUUGUAAAGUACUUUCAGUCGGGAGGCGUUACCGACAGAAGAAGCAACGGCUAACUCCGUGCCAGCAGCCGCGGUAAUUC